ensembl:lncRNA
AUGUUAAAUAUACAAUAUAUCCUUAUACAAAUGAAAAAAAAAAAAAACUGUUUACAGCAUCUUAUGCUUUUAUCUUGCAGUGAAAGGCAUCUGAGAAGAUUAAUAAAAUCAAGUGAGCCACAGAGAUGGCAUCGUCCAAGAGCACAGGGAGUACAUCCAGAGGCAAUGGGUGAACUUCGUGUCCUGAAACCAAAAUCAGUUGGGAAGACUGGAAUCAAGUCUACCCUAUACAAGGCUUACACAGGUCCCCUUCCAGAUGCUGAUGUCUUGGCUUCUGGUGCAAAACUAAGUCAGAUUAAUCCCAAGCCUUUGCUGGCACACAUACUUGAUGGCAUGUCAAAAGUAGAGUUGGUCCCCUCACAAUUCAGUCCUGUACCUCAUGGCAAUCCACUUUCAUACCAAUGUCUCCCUAUAGCUGCAGGUGUUCCUGAUGUUAAUUUUCUCCCACUACCUGUGCUUGGUUAUCAGUUUGGCUGUAAUUUUAAAUUUGUGCCCACACACCAUCAAGCACUUCAUCUGGAGUCUAUAAAGGUUACCCAUAGUUCAACUUGCCGGAUUGAAGAGGCCACAAGACUACAGUCAAAAUGCACUGCUUGGGGACAAAUUUGGCAAUCAAGGUUUAUCACAAGCAAUUUGCAUUGGUGUGACUUUGUGAGUGACACAAAAUCAGAUUUCACAAUACAGAGGAUCUGGCGAGAUGAUGCCUUCAUAGCGUCAAUGAAAGACUAUGGAGCGAAUUUUGUGCCAAUAUUCAUCAAACAAAUCCAGCGUAUUGUAAAUAAACAAAAUCUGCUUUGCAAGUAAAAACUUGACUUUCAAACAAACGCAAAGUGAUGUAGAGGUAUGGACAAAUAUGAAUGUAUAUAAAAAUACAAAUAUACAAAUAUAAAAUGUAGUGUGCGUUACAACUGUGAGACUCAUUUGUGAGGAAACUUGGCUUGAUUUUCUCACAAAUGCAUGCAGGCAGAUAUUCCCACAUGCAUUAAAGCAGAUUUUCUCACAAAUGCAAUUGAGCAACUAUCUUUUCCAAAAACAGCAGAUGGCGCUGUCCGUCAAUUUAUGCUAGUCCCCUGAGACCUGAUCACCUGUUUACCUUUUCAGGGAAUACAGCAGACCAACAUGAGUUGGGAACAGGUGAGUUUCUGUCUUACUAUAUAAUUAACCAUUUAGAUGUUUUCACAAAGCGACCCUACUAUUGUCAGUGAAAUUCACAAUAAGGGCUGUAAAGUUGGUAACAUGAUUGAUUAGUUCAAAAAUCAGUCGUGACAUGGCUAAACAUUUAACUAGGCGGUCUUUCCCUAUAAAAACUGAUGCAUUCUCCAUACCUCUUAUCCUCUGUAGGAUCACGGGAUAUAGAAUAUAUACAUGUUGAUAAAAUUGUUCAAUGUAUAACAAAAAUAUUGUGUACCAAAAAAGAAUGCUUAGACAAUUUAAUUUAGUAUCAGAUAUAGCAAUAUCACCCAAGAGGUCAUUAAUUACUAAUAACAUUUUUAAAGCAAAUCACAUUAUUUAGUUCAAUAUCUAAAACUUUUUAAAUGUUUUAACACUGUGCAAUCAUUUGUGUCUAAAAUAAUUAUGUAUUUUUUAGAUAAGCAACAUGAUGAAUAUUUAUCUUCUGGUGUCACUCUUGUCCUGUGAAUUUGGGAGAAAGAUCAAGUUCAC